ACCCACUCGCUGGUGAGCUCUGCGAGAGUGUGCUCCUCUCCGUCCCUGGAGCGCCGCAGCGUGCUGGUGCAUAGUAGGCGUCUGUCCAUGUCUGUCUAGUUGAAUUUCCUGAGAGUCAUUGGACCUUCUCAGCAGCUCUGGAGAACCUACAUUGACCAGAGACUUUGCAGCCAGCUCACCCCUCCAACUCCCUGCCCUGGAGUCCCUGACCUGGGAACUUCUGCAUCAGGCUGCUCAAACCUGAACUUGACAAAAUUUCAAAGCACGAAUUCUUUAUGUUGAUAAGACAACGGACAAAGUGCUGAACCUGGAACCUAGAUCACUCGAUGUUGCCUGUAGCUGAGUCCACUUCUGUCACUCACCCUGCAUUUCCCUGCUAGGAGCAAGAGAGAGAAAGCCGGCCAGAAGGCAUGGGUGUGGGCUCAGAUCUGGUUCCUCCUGUUGCCACUGUGAAAGUUGAUCAUACAAAGGUCACUGUUGUCAUAGGCCAGCAGAGUUAGGAGACUAGGGGAAAAAGCAUGUAACGUUGCUCCAAGAAUAUAACUGUCUCCAACCCUGGCUGCUGGAACAAGUGUUGCAACCUGAAACCAGUUUGAUCUAAUAGCUACUGAAACGACCUGCGGAAAUCUAAGACCAGUUUCACCCACCCACGAAUCAGAGCUUGCUGGAUCCCCAAAACGUUUCCAGCGCUAACGAACUUGCUUUCCUAACAAUCCGUUAACAUUUCUCAUUUUUAUGAAACCUCCAACCUUCUCUUUGUUCUUUGGACAUACUGAACACCGCCCAGUCUGUGUGUAUGUCCCAAACUGAAAUUCUUGCUUCCCAAAUAAAACCCUUUAAACUUA